UNGCAGAGUAUAUUCCCAAAAGCCAUCGGU
rnacentral:piRNA from 1 species